rnacentral:rRNA from 1 species
CCUACGGGAGGCAGCAGUGAGGAAUAUUGGUCAAUGGCCGGAAGGCUGAACCAGCCAAGCCGCGUGAAGGACGAAGGUGCCAAGCAUUGUAAACUUCUUUUGUCAAGGGACAAAAUCAGGCUCGAGAGCCUGACCGAGGGUACUUGAAGAAAAAGCAUCGGCUAACUCCGUGCCAGCAGCCGCGGUAAUACGGAGGAUGCGAGCGUUAUCCGGAGUUAUUGGGUUUAAAGGGUGCGUAGGCGGGCUGUUAAGUCAUCGGUAAAAGCCCGGGGCUCAACCCCGGCGAGCCGAUGAAACUGGCUGUCUAGAGAUGUCGAGAGGUAUGCGGAAUGCGCAGUGUAGCGGUGAAAUGCUUAGAUAUUGCGCAGAACUCCGAUUGCGAAGGCAGCAUACCGGAGGGGAUCUGACGCUGAGGCACGAGAGCGUGGGUAUCGAACAGGAUUAGAUACCCGAGUAGUC